GACGAACGCUGGCGGCGUGCUUAACACAUGCAAGUCGAACGGUGAAGCUCCAACUUGCUGGAGUGGAUCAGUGGCGAACGGGUGAGUAACACGUGAGCAACCUGCCCCUGACUCUGGAAUAAGCGCUGGAAACGGCGUCUAAUACUGGAUACGAGAAGGGUCCGCAUGGGCACUUUCUGGAAAGUUUUUCGGUUGGGGAUGGGCUCGCGGCCUAUCAGCUUGUUGGUGAGGUAAUGGCUCACCAAGGCGACGACGGGUAGCCGGCCUGAGAGGGCGACCGGCCACACUGGGACUGAGACACGGCCCAGACUCCUACGGGAGGCAGCAGUGGGGAAUAUUGCACAAUGGGCGAAAGCCUGAUGCAGCGACGCCGCGUGAGGGAUGACGGCCUUCGGGUUGUAAACCUCUUUCAGCAGGGAAGAAGCGAAAGUGACGGUACCUGCAGAAGAAGCACCGGCUAACUACGUG
rnacentral:rRNA from 1 species